rnacentral:rRNA from 1 species
GCGGGCAUUGCCUUAGUACGGCGAGUGAAGCGGCAAAAGCUCAAAUUUGAAAUCUGGUACCUUCGGUGCCCGAGUUGUAAUUUGGAGAGGGCAACUUUGGGGCCGUUCCUUGUCUAUGUUCCUUGGAACAGGACGUCAUAGAGGGUGAGAAUCCCGUGUGGCGAGGAGUGCGGUUCUUUGUAAAGUGCCUUCGAAGAGUCGAGUUGUUUGGGAAUGCAGCUCUAAGUGGGUGGUAAAUUCCAUCUAAAGCUAAAUAUUGGCGAGAGACCGAUAGCGAACAAGUACAGUGAUGGAAAGAUGAAAAGAACUUUGAAAAGAGAGUGAAAAAGUACGUGAAAUUGUUGAAAGGGAAGGGCAUUUGAUCAGACAUGGUGUUUUGUGCCCUCUGCUCCUUGUGGGUAGGGGAAUCUCGCAUUUCACUGGGCCAGCAUCAGUUUUGGUGGCAGGAUAAAUCCAUAGGAAUGUAGCUUGCCUCGGUAAGUAUUAUAGCCUGUGGGAAUACUGCCAGCUGGGACUGAGGACUGCGACGUAAGUCAAGGAUGCUGGCAUAAUGGUUAUAUGCCGCCCGUCUGAAAAAA